GUCCCUGUAAAGCAAUGGGUAGUGUUGGACUUCUAAUCGAAAGGUCGUGGGUUCGAAUCCCACCUGGGACA